rnacentral:rRNA from 1 species
AACGAACGCUGGCGGCAUGCCUAACACAUGCAAGUCGAACGAGACCUUCGGGUCUAGUGGCGCACGGGUGCGUAACGCGUGGGAACCUGCCCUUAGGUUCGGAAUAACUCCCCGAAAGGGGUGCUAAUACCGGAUAAUGUCUUCGGACCAAAGAUUUAUCGCCUUUGGAUGGGCCCGCGUUGGAUUAGCUAGUUGGUAGGGUAAAAGCCUACCAAGGCGACGAUCCAUAGCUGGUCUGAGAGGAUGAUCAGCCACACUGGGACUGAGACACGGCCCAGACUCCGACGGGAGGAAGAAGUGGGGAAUAUGGGAAAAGGGGCGAAAGCCGGAACCAGCAAUGCCGGGGGAGUUAUGAAGGCCUUAGGGUUGUAAAGCUCUUUUACCCGGGAUGAUAAGGACAGUACCGGGAAAAAAAGCCCGGGCUAACUCCGU